UUCAAUAUCAUUAAGCUGAAAUAUUGAUCUGAAGUUUUUAUCAAAUUUGGAACUUUUGGUGUCGGAGUUACUAUUCACGUAUACGACACUAUUCACGUAUACGGUACUAUUCACGAAUACGGCACUAUUCAUCGAAAAAUAAAAAUUUUUCUUUUCGUCCAAAAUAUCUAUUCUGGAUACUAGCUUUGAUUGUAUCCAUGUUUUGAUCAUUCUUGAAGUUUACACCACUAUGAUUAUUUUUG
rnacentral:lncRNA from 1 species